UACGUGCGCAUGCGCAGAUGGUGAGCGACGUGGCCUGGUACUGCAGGUGUAGCAAACCGGUGCGAGUCCAACCGGCAGCGAGUUUCCCGUUUCUCAGCGAGCGCCAAGCCUGUCGAUUCUUGGCAGAGAUGAUCUCUCUCACCGACUCUCAGAAAAUUGGGAUGGGUUUAACAGGUUUUGGAGUGUUUUUCCUGUUCUUUGGAAUGAUUCUGUUCUUUGACAAAGCACUCCUUGCUAUUGGAAACAUCCUCUUCGUGGUUGGUCUGGCGUUCGUCAUUGGCUUGGAAAGGACUUUUAGGUUCUUCUUCCAGAAGCACAAGAUGAAAGCCACUAGCUUCUUCCUUGGGGGUGUCUUCGUCGUGCUGAUUGGCUGGCCCAUAGUUGGAGUAAUUCUAGAAUUUUAUGGAUUCUUCCUUUUAUUCAGGAGUUUCUUUCCAGUGGUCAUCGGUUUCAUCAGAAGAAUACCUGUCCUGGGUUCCCUGCUCAAUCUGCCAUUCAUUAGUGGGCCGUCGUAAGGCUGAGAGGACAGUCAGCACUCUUGGUCAGUCACUGCUGCUCGACUCCCCUGCAUUAUGUGGACAAACUAGGAGAGAGCAACAGCAUGGUAUAAUGGACACUGUGCUUUUCCUUCUUCUUUAUGACGGAUUUCCUAAAACGGCUUUAUUCCAAAACACACUAACUAAAAUUGUUUGUCAUAUUACGGAAACAUGCGGCGCAGGCGUCUUUCCUCAAAAGGUCAGAGGGGUAGGGGGAGUUUUUGGUCCUAUUCCUUUCCACCUCUGACACAAGACCAGCUGAGUGGCAAUUAAGGAGGUACUUAGUGCUGUGAGAGGCACCACCACCUCCACCUUCCUGUUCCACUCCACUACGAACAUCCCUCGCUUACUUCAACAGAGGGGCUGCUACCUGGGCUGUUAUGAUGGCUUGUUCACCGCUUUGAUUUGUGGAUCAGAGCCUGGAGCCGGAGGCACCCACUGUAGGGGCUGUGUGUGUGUAUAGUCUGUGGAGUGAGGAGUCUGUGUGGAGACUGUGGAGUCUGCUCUCAGUCAGAAACAUCACUGCUUGGAGGGAGCAGGGCAGGAACACCGCAAGCCCCUGGCUGGGUGGGCUAUGCAUGAAUGUUUCACUUUAAAAAUAUUUUUAAACAGUUUAUCUACUGUUGAGAAAUGAUCCAACUGAUUUGAACUUUGUAAAUACAGAUUAAUAAAAAGAAAGCACAAAACUGA